rnacentral:misc_RNA from 1 species
UUAGAUUUCUGCAUGGGAAACGAACCAUGAAAAUUACAUUAGUCUUCAAUUUUUUCUUCUUUAUAAGUGCCAUUUACUGCUAUGAUUCAGAAAGUUCCGAAUCUAAUCGAAUUGAAGUGAGUCCAAUUUAUGAUACUAUUAUCUACAGUGAUAUCGCUGAUAUAAUAAAUGAAUUUGAAAAUAAUGGUGUUACACCGUUCGAUAUAUUUGCGAACAGCGACAGCCAAAGUGAUGAAGCCAUAGAAAAUCUUCUGUCUGAAUAUCAACACUACUUGGAUAAGGCCCACAGACAAAGAAAGAGUUAUUUAGAAAAAACUAAAGGUAAAAACAAAGUACCUCUUUUGCCACGCCAUGAUCAAUAUUCAAAAACAAAACCGGGACUGGAUAACAAACAUGACGAUUACUUCUACGCUAAUAGUUAUUACAAUCCAGGGACAUUUAAAUUUCCUCCUUCACCAUUCGGAAGUCCUUUAGAUGUAUUCAUUCCUAUAAACGCAAAAUCAAGAUACAUGAAUAACAAACCAGAAGCGACCACUACAUCUCCAAAGGGUAAUCAUGAGGAAUUUGUACCACUUGAAAAAAUUAUGUUCAAUGAAAAAAAAAUCAUAGAUCUCUCUCCAAUUUUGCAUAAAUCUUCUUACGAGCCUAUUAAAUCUUCCUGUUUUUGUAAAAGCAAUCACUUUCCAUGCGAUUGCGGUUGUAAACAGUGCUUGGUUCGCUUCGAUCCACUGUUGAGAGAUCCAAUGGAACAAAUCAGAAUGCGUUCCACAGAUGACCAGAAAAGAUAUCAACAUUCGUCACCAUAUGAGAACUCUAUUAGAAAAUCUGAACAUUUAAUUGACGAAAAUAUGAAAGAUUUGCUGGGCGACAAUACGCUUAAUAUUCGCAUUAAAAUUGAUCUUCAACUGCCAAAGCCUCAAGAUAUUCUGGGAAAAUAUAAAAUUCACAAUCGCGACAGAAUGCUUGAAACUGAUGACUUGUUUUCUAAGGAACUUGCGCCUGGGGUAAAUUUGCCAUUUCCUUAUUUCAACUUCCCAGUUCCCAUGGAAAUAUUUGGUUUCAAAAAAGCAAAGUUUACUAAAGACGAUUCAACACCCUUACACAAAAUUACGAUCCACAAGAAAAAGAAAUCCAGAACUAACAAUAAUAACAAAAAACACCGGAAGAAGGUUAUCACCUUUCAAAAUAUUAAGGUAGAGCAACAACCAUUGUUCUCAAACCAUUUGAGUGAUAACAACAUAAGCGAUACAUUUAAGAACGAUAAUAAUAGUAACUUAUUAUAUAAUGAUACCAACCUACAACCCUCAAAUGUUUUACAACUUGAAAUUAAUUCUGUGAUUAACAAAACUGAUGACAAUUUAAAUGAAACUCAGACCGAGGAAAGUAUAUAUCUAAUGGUUAAUAUAACAAAUAGUACUUAUAAUGGAACAGAAGAUGCACAUAAAAUAGAAAAUAGUAUUGAAACUGAUUUUCCUAGAAAGAACAUUAACAUGACAAUGAAGGUUCCAGUAGCCGUGCGCGAAAAACGUGAUGUUUCGAAUGUUAAUACACCUAGUAAUAGUGACAUCCAUUUGACGCUCAACGAUGUGCAAUCCGCAAAAAACGAUAUUCCAAAAGAAAAGAAUAUUGGGAAAAAGGCAGACAAAAAUCUGUUAAGUGACGCAGAGUUAUUGUAUUGGCCUAAUAUUACCAACAAGGACGAUAUAAAAACGAACAAGAAUAUAACCACUAUGAUACUAGAAAAUGAACAUAAGAAAACGAAGCUAAACAUGAGUAAAGAUACAAUUCGUCAGAAUCAUACUAGGGCACUAGAACAGGCCAUAUUCGGUGACGUGGACUGGGAUGAUGUUGACACGGUUGUCCCAGCUUUUAUGUCUUUUGUCGGCAAAUAUAUUCGUGGAGUAUUAACAUUCUGCUCUCAAAAAGUUUGUCAUUCCAUGAAAUGUGGCAACAAGACAUGUCUGCAUAGGGUUUGCUUGCCCUCAGAUAGACCGAAUAACAGAGGACAUUGCGGAGGGACGAACAGCGCAGAUAGCCUAGCAUCGAUGGAGUCAAUUAUGGAUUUGCCUUCAAAUAUUGCAUUUGAGAUAGUAGACAUUUUGCAAAACAAAAUGUUGGGAAAAAUAUUUGGAAAGGCAACGUUUUGCAUUAACGCUAAAUGUAUCACACUUGUUGCAUCCAAAAAGAAUUUUGUGAAAUCUCGAUGUUCCGUCAAAGAAUUGAAUACUGCAGGUCAUUGUUCGAAUACUAAAGGUGCAAAACUUAUGUAAGUUCUAGUUAUGUUUAAUAAAUAAGCUCAAUUGAAUAAUCGAUUGUUUACUAAUUCUACUCAGUCAUUGCUUGAAGCUGUGUUAAACGGCUAGAUUUAUUAUGACUCCAACAUCCAGAUAGAAUGGUUCUGCGUUUUGAAUUACACUUGAUAACAAUAUAUCCAGUUUUACUUAUGAUAAUUUUUGUUAUCAUAAGUUUUUGUAUUGGAUUUCCGAUUGGAGAAAACUUAUAUAGGAAUCCUUGGAGAACCAUUAAGAAGUUGAAUACUAAAAUAAUUGACUUUGAUGCAAAAGGGAAGUUAUUAUUAAAAGAAAUUCCAAAUGAAUCGCUGCUAAAUAUUAUAUCGACGAUAGAAGCAAUGAGUUUCAAUACUAUUGAUGAACCUAUGCGGAAA